ensembl:misc_RNA Metazoa_SRP Metazoan signal recognition particle RNA
GCCGGGCGCGGUGGCGCGCGCCUGUAGUCCCAGCUACUCGGGAGGCUGAGGCUGGAGGAUCGCUUGAGCUCAGGAGUUCUGGGCUGCAGUGCGCUAUGCAGAUCGGGUAUCCGCACUAAGUUCGGCAUCAAUAUGGUGACCUCCCGGGAGCGGGGGACCACCAGGUUGCCUAAGGAGGGGUGAACUGGCCCAGGUCGGAAACGGAGCAGGUCAAAACUCCCGUGCUGAUCAGUAGUGGGAUCGCGCCUGUGAAUAGCCACUGUACUCCAGCCUGGGCAACAUAGCGAGACCCCGUCUCUU